rnacentral:rRNA from 1 species
ACGCCUAAUACAUGCAAGUCGAACGCAGUAGCAAUACUGAGUGGCGAACGGGUGAGUAUAAUGUGGGUAUCUGCCUUUUGGUUUGGAAUAACACGAGGAAACUUGUGCUAAUACCGGAUAAGCCCUUACGGGGAAAGUUUUAACGCCGAAAGAUGAGCCCGCACUUGAUUAGCUUGUUGGUAGGGUAAUGGCCUACCAAGGCUACGAUCAAUAGCUGAUCUGAGAGGAUGAUCAGCCACAUUGGGACUGAGACACGGCCCAGACUCCUACGGGAGGCAGCAGUAGGGAAUCUUGCACAAUGGGGGAAACCCUGAUGCAGCGAUGCCGCGUGAGUGAAGAAGGCCUUUGGGUUGUAAAGCUCUUUCGUCGGGGAAGAAAAUGACUGUACCCGAAUAAGAAGGUCCGGCUAACUUCGUGCCAGCAGCCGCGGUAAUACGAAGGGACCUAGCGUAGUUCGGAAUUACUGGGCUUAAAGAGCACGUAGGUGGUUGAAAAAGUUGGUGGUGAAAUCCCAAGGCUUAACCUUGGAACUGCCACCAAAACUUUUUAACUAGAGUAUGAUAGAGGUAAGUGGAAUUUCUAGUGUAGAGGUGAAAUUCGUAGAUAUUAGAAAGAACACCAAUUGCGAAGGCAACUUUCUGGAUCAUUACUGACACUGAGGUGCGAAAGCAUGGGUAGCGAAGAGGAUUAGAUACCCUCGUAGUCCAUGCUGUAAACGAUGUGUGCUAGACGUUGGAAAUUUAUUUUUCAGUGUCGCAGCAAAAGCGUUAAGCACACCGCCUGGGGAGUACG